UGCAACUGACCAGCUCUAUCGACUCUUGUCUCUGAGAGGGCUAGGGAUACGCGGCUGGAUUCGGGAGGCGGCGGCGGCGGGCGGCGCAGGGCGUUGGGCGGCAUGGGCGACGGGGCGGCGCAUAUCCUCAGCGGUGGCGACGACGUCGAUGGGUUCGGCGGUGGCCGACAGCAGGCCUAUCUUCCAAACUCGUUGGUCGGCAAAGCGGCUGCGCGAAAUACUAAUAUUUUCCAUUUUUUGUAUUCCUGCUUUUUCUAUGCUCAGGACACGAGGUCGUUGCUCAAUUUUCGAACAUUUGUAGCACCAAAGCUUUUCAAGCACCCUCAGAACACUCUCAACUCAGACGAAGAGUUCCAUAAACUGCUGAGAAGCUCGUAGAAGAUGACAAUCAGACCACAAACUCGCUAGCUUAGUUUUUUAUUUUUUUUAUUUUGUGAGUCCAUGUGUCCGAAACAUCCAUUUAUGUAACUGAAAACAGCAAGUAUCAUGCCGGAGCUAUCUAGAAGUUUUUUGUUGAA